AACGAACGCUGGCGGCAUGCCUAAUAUAUGCAAGUCGAACGAGAUCUUCGGAUCUAGUGGCGCACGGGUGCGUAACGCGUGGGAAUCUGCCCUUGGGUUCGGAAUAACUUCUGGAAACGGAAGCUAAUACCGGAUGACGACGUAAGUCCAAAGAUUUAUCGCCCAAGGAUGAGCCCGCGUAGGAUUAGGUAGUUGGAUAGGUUAAGGCUCACCAAUCCGACGAACCUUAGCUGGUCGGAGAGGAUGAUCAGCCACACUGGGACUGCGACACGGCCCAGACUCCUACGGGCGGCAGCAGUAGGGAAUAUUGGAAAAUGGACGAAAGCCUGGUCCAGCAAUGCGGCGUGCGUGAUGAAGGCCUUAGUGUUGUAAAGCUCUUUUACCCGGGAUGAUAAUGACAGUACAGGGAGAAUAAGCUCCGGCUAAUUCCGUGCCAGCCGCCGCAGUAACAC
rnacentral:rRNA from 1 species